ACCUCCUCCCUCAGCGCAGCUUUGCAGGCGCUGGGGCUCCCAAAGGACGGAGCUUUGAAUCCACCUGGGAGGCUUAAGAGAAAGUGCUGAGUCCCCCAUGCCCUACCCCUGAGACUGCUGACAGGCAUCGCUGAGGGCUGCAGCUUUGGAAUCGGGCAUCUUCUGAGGAAGAGAAAGGCACCACAGCCACGGCACAGAAGACUAGAGACGGGUGUCACUAUGCUGCCCAGGCUGGUCUCUCGUGGCUUCAAGAGAUAUUCCCACCUUGGUCUUCCAGAGCACUGGAAUUGAAGAUGUAGAUGUGAUGUCUGGAACUCAUGCAGCUAUCUUGCAACGACCAGGAUGAGGCUAAGAGAAUAGGAGAGAUCCUUGCUCAAACAGGCUGAACUCGAGUAUUUUGGGCCCUAAGA
rnacentral:lncRNA from 10 species